UACGUAGGGGGCGAGCGUUGUCCGGAUUUAUUGGGCAUAAAGGGCGCGUAGGCGGUUUCUUAAGUUUGAAGUGACAGUGGGUGGCUUAACUACCCAAGGCCUUUGAAAACUGGGGAACUUGAGGACCAGAGAGGGACAUAGAAUUCCGGGUGGAGUGGUGAAAUGCGUAGAUAUCCGGAGGAAUACCAAAGGCGAAGGCAGUGUCCUGGAGGGUGACUGACGCUGAGGCGCGAAAGCUAGGGGAGCGAACAGG
rnacentral:rRNA from 1 species